AUGAGCCUAGGUCGGAUUAGCUAGUUGGUGGGGUAAUGGCUCACCAAGGCGACGAUCCGUAACUGGUCUGAGAGGAUGAUCAGUCACACUGGAACUGAGACACGGUCCAGACUCCUACGGGAGGCAGCAGUGGGGAAUAUUGGACAAUGGGCGAAAGCCUGAUCCAGCCAUGCCGCGUGUGUGAAGAAGGUCUUCGGAUUGUAAAGCACUUUAAGUUGGGAGGAAGGGUUGUAGAUUAAUACUCUGCAAUUUUGACGUUACCGACAGAAUAAGCACCGGCUAACUCUGUGCCAGCAGCCGCGGUAAUACAGAGGGUGCAAGCGUUAAUCGGAAUUACUGGGCGUAAAGCGCGCGUAGGUGGUUAGUUAAGUUGGAUGUGAAAUCCCCGGGCUCAACCUGGGAACUGCAUUCAAAACUGACUGACUAGAGUAUGGUAGAGGGUGGUGGAAUUUCCUGUGUAGCGGUGAAAUGCGUAGAUAUAGGAAGGAACACCAGUGGCGAAGGCGACCACCUGGACUGAUACUGACACUG
rnacentral:rRNA from 1 species